rnacentral:tRNA from 1 species
CAGGGAGACAAAAACUGGUCAUUAUGUCUGAGUAAAAUAUUCUUAGGCAAUGAUCCUGUCACCUUAGGUCGAUCGGUACAUCAAACUAAUUUUGGUUAGUUUUAGUUCCUAAACUUUGUCUAGGUCACACCCCAUAAAGGGUUACUCCUGGGCCAUUAGCUCAGGUGGUUAGAGCGCACCCCUGAUAAGGGUGAGGUCCCUGGUUCAAGUCCAGGAUGGCCCAUUCGGUGUUUGGGGGUUUAGCUCAGUUGGUAGAGCGCCUGCUUUGCAAGCAGGAUGUCAGCGGUUCGAGUCCGCUAACCUCCACUGACCGACCUCCUGCAGCGACUUGAUUUCGAGGGCCUUUUUUGAGAUGUGAUUUAGAUUUAUUUAGCUGACGGAACCUAGCUUCCUAUCAUUCCAAACUUAUACACUUAAGUUGAGGUUGAAAGGAUGCUGGGCUCACUGUGAUUCGAAAGGAUUACAGCGACGUUCGGCAGGACCUUGACAACUGCAUAGUGAGUCUGGAAAGAAUAAAGCAUCUCAUGGAGAAAUUAUUCUUAAGGACAGAGAUUUAUUCAUAACCUUUUAAAGGUUUAUAUGAAUAUUUUUCUUUCUUUUGAGUGAUAUCAAUUUUUGAGUUAAGAGCAUAAACCUUAUAUCUUUACUUAAUUAACUUAAGAUUAAAGAUAUAGGGUCAAUUU